CGCCACAAUGUUUGACGCUGAUUGGCUCGCGCGCUGAAAUCGAGAAAACGUCGACUGGAUUUAUAAUUGGCGGCUUUUGCUGAGGUGCUUUGAGGAGUGUGUGAGUGUGACUUAACUAGCUACCAGUCAACAAUGUGUCCUUGGAAGUGACUUUUUAAUGUCUCUCGAAGAACAUUUGAGGUAUAUUGACAAUCCGGUAACUGAAAGUUUCCACCCCUGUGAUUGUGAGGAAGGAUUUUUGAGUUUGCAAUCGGGGAACGUGAGUCUUGAAACUGUCUAAUUCUUGAAAAUUUAGCUGUGGCCUGCUCUGCCCCCAAUGGCCAGCUAUGGCCCCAGGUGGCCAACUCAGCCCCAAGGGAUAAGAAUACUUCCUCGGGACAUUACCUGAAGCGUAAUAAGGAGAUGCACCGUGAUCCCAUCAGGGGGACCAGCAGGAUUGGCAGAAUUGUAGGACCAUUUGAAAUGAAGCGUGUGCUCUCUCUCUGCUGGACACCCAUCUGAGGUUGACGCACUCGGGGACUCUGCUUCGGUGAGUACUUUUUCUUUCCUGCAAUGUAGAGUUAACUUUCUGGUGGGGAAAUUUGGGAAAGCAGCCUAGUCUAAAUGGCGUGUGAAGUUGAUAGAGAUUACACUAAAAUGAACGAAUUUUAUUAGUCAUAUUAAAAAGUCUAUUUACAAAUCAAAAAAUAUAUAUAUUAGCGUUCAUUUUUAAAUACAAGAACUAAACCUUACUACUAUUCCAAAAUCUCAAGUCUAUAUACAGUACAACUGAGCCACUAGACACGAACUGAAUAAAAUUCCUCACAGUUACGUUUGCUUUGUAAAAAUACGAAUGAAAACUUCAAAUCCAGUUACACGAGCGUAGAAUAAACUAGCGUCCCUCUCCAUCCGCCUCCCCACACGAACGGCGGAACAGUGAUUGGCGAUUUAGUAAUAUUUACGGCGCGAAAUUCCGUGCGUGUGAAGGAAGGUGUAAUGAAACUAUUAUAAAGGCAGCACGAGAGGUGAGAAUAAGCCACUUACUAGCAUCCAUUAACAACAAUGCCAGCAGUAAUCCUGCGGCUAAUCUCAUUAUAUUCGUAGCCUCGCGUCAGGAAACUUUUUAAAAAUACAUUUCUCUAAAACCACAAAAGUAUUUUUUGGGAAUGGGGGGAAAAAAAGGCGAGGGGGAGGGGGGAUGGCGAGGACUUUUACCACGCCUUUUCUGCCUCGCACGGCACUCAGCAUGUUAAUUAAAAGUUUUAAGUCAGCACAAACGUAGCCCCUUUGUUUUGAGCGGCCGGUUGGUCUCUUUCCCGCCACCUCUCGCGGCCUUCCAGGGCCAACUACAAUAUUUUAUUUCUGUACGUGAUGCUCAUACUGCGGUCCAUAUUUGUCGGAAGGUUGAGUUUGUCAUGCGGUGUAUUUAGUUUACCUUUCUAUAUAUGUAUAAAUUGUGCAGUCAGUACAAGUGGUGUCAAGGGUGAUCAGUUUCAAAGGAUAAGUGCCAGUGGAUCAUCAUAAGAGCAAGUGGAGAGUCAAGGGGUCAGUGCCAGUCAUUAGGAGUGUCCGGAGCCGCAGUGGCACCGCCGGAGGUCAUUGGAAGGUGGUCGAGUAGUCACGGGUCGUCAGAACAAUGAGGGAGAAGGUGGUGCUCUGAUUCAUCAUUGUUGCCACUGAACCGAAGUCUGUCGAGUCAGUGAGGCAUUCUGGGAGGUGUGGACGACAGGUGGAACCCAGAGAAGGAAGUGUUAAAGGGAGGGAUCGAGGGGAUAGCUGGGAAGGGCCGUAAGGAAGGAAGGAGUGGGGAGGAGAGAAGUGGAAUGGGAAAGGAAGAGAGGAGGGUGCAAGGGUUGGAGGAGAGGGACGGCAGUAAACACAAGAGCGGCGAAGGGAAGAGAGUCGGGAGGAGAGAAGGAAAGGUAAUUGGGGGAGGGCGAGGGUUGAGGGAGAAGUAAUGAAGAAGCGAAGGGACUUACAGAAUGAUUUGUAUAUUUCUCCAGCGCCGAAACACGGUCAGUGGUGCCUUAUUAUCUAAUGUCAACCGCUGGGAUUGGUGCACAAAUGUCCGACUGACUCCCCAGCAGGAGUCAAACCGGAGGGAGUAGGUCACAGUGGACCACUGGACUGCAUUUUAGAGGACGAAACGCUAUUUCCAACAUGCGAUAUAGUCAUGCUGGCUUUGUACCUCAUAUAUUGAAAAGGUGUUGCUCAAAACGCACAAAACUAUCAUCCUGUCGUCGUACUACACAAUCCAGGACUGCAAAAAAGUUGGAACUCUGUAUAAGGGAAGAAACAGGGAGGUAGAGAGGGGACUAUGUAGCACAGGAGAGGGUGAUGGCAAUUAAAAAUAGAAAGUAGAGGGGGGGGAAGAGGUGAGAUAAGAUUAGAACGGCAGAUUAAGGAAAAUAAGAGGAUUCACUUAAGGACUGU